UUCCCACAGAAGAUUGCAUUUGAUGGAUUUACUCCAGAAAUUUGGCCAAGAUAAAUUUUGAAAAUGAAGUCAUAAUUUACACAUGAAAUUUCAGAUUCCUGUGUAGAAGGGUGUAGAAGAUGGGCAUACAGCAUCCAUCAUGCAUACUCAUCUCUUUGAAGGAGCUGCUGAAGCCUGGAAAUGACAUAGAAUCUGGCUCUGCGAGGUUCUAUGUUCUUCAAUUUUUUGAACUGAAGAUCUGAAAGGAAAUCAUUGCAGAAAAGGUUUGCAACCAGUGUGGAGAAUGGGGAGGGAUAUUAUCAGUGGAUCCUAUUCCCACUAAGGAUAUGACAGUGGAUCCUAGGAGUCUUUCUGGAAUCCCAGGAGAUGAGAUGUUACCAAGAAAUGCAGCCACAGAUGAAAGUGGAUACAGGAAAUUAUUUGCUCACAGCUCCCAUGAGAAUCAACAGCUCAAAGUGGUUUUUUUUUUAAUACAUAUUUUUUAUUUUAUAUGCUUAAUUUUUUUGUUUGUUUUGAUGGAGUGUCCACUUGCCUAACCUCUUUUUCUAAUGCUUUCUUUUAUGAUUAAAGUGCCCCUUUUCUGCAAUGGUUGAUUUAGUCACAACUCCUGGACUUUCCAUUGAAAUUAUUUUCCUGUUGGCAAAAGGAAAGGUAACACUGAAAACACUUCUCUGCAAAACAAGCUCUGUGUUACAAAGCUACAAGCCCAAUAUAUUAACUUCAAAAUGUUUUCCCUGGAAUUUUCAGGCAAACCAACACUUCUUAGGAACAGGGAAACGCUCCCAAAGUGCCACAGGACCAAGGUGCUGAAGUCUGAUGCUGGGGAUAAAGAGGUGCUGGGACAAUACAGCAAGAGGUUCCAUAUACAUGCACCUAUAUCAACAUCAAUCAGCAAAGUGAAGGUGCCUUUGUAUUUAGACAGGUCUGUACUGUGCCUUACAAUGCUGAAUUUAUAGAAAGGCCCAGCCAGAAAAGCACUCUACACCCAGAUAUCAUAACAAAAGUGACAUUCAGGAUAGUAAAAUAAAUAUUUAAUUUCUUCAUCUUCCCAUAUUCAUCUCAGACAUCCAGCUAACUCUAAUAAUACUUUACACUAUAAUGUAAAUACAACUAUUCCAAAUUAAUAGAAUUGUUUUGAUAAAUACUUGUGAGUUCAUUUUACACUCUUUGCCCACUGAUGGCUUUCCAGCUAUGGGACAGUGUUAGGCUUUUUUUUGCAUGCUGUAAAUGUAUCAAACCUAAAAGCCAUAGUAGCUUUUGAAACACUAACAAUAUCACUCAGUGCUUAUAUUACCCUUUACAUCUUCAGAGCCUUGCAUGAACAGACAUGAAUGAAAUAUGGUAAUAGAUUUAUUGUAUUGCAAACCUGCUUUGCUAUUCCUCCAGCUGCUUCAGCAGGUCUCGUGCUGAUGCCUGUGAGAACAACACAUUGAUGCUUCAGAUGACUAACCACUGAAACUGGGCUGAGGAGAGUUAUGAUUUCCCCUGUAUCUCCCUCAAAGGCAGGUUAGACAUUACACAUAAAAAUUUUGGAAAGACUCUGCCAGCAAAUGUGUACUCAACAUGGUCAGGUGCCGUGUACUCAACAUGGUCAGGUGCCAUGUACUCAAGAGA